GUCGAGCGCGGGAAGCGAGCGGAUCCCUUCGGGGUGAAGCUCGUGGAACGAGCGGCGGACGGGUGAGUAACACGUGGGCAACCUGCCUGUAAGAUCGGAAUAACCCCGGGAAACCGGGGCUAAUGCCGGGUAAUACUUUUCUUCGCAUGAAGAUGAGUUGAAAGAUGGCUUCUCGCUAUCACUUACAGAUGGGCCCGCGGCGCAUUAGCUAGUUGGUGAGGUAACGGCUCACCAAGGCAACGAUGCGUAGCCGACCUGAGAGGGUGAUCGGCCACACUGGGACUGAGACACGGCCCAGACUCCUACGGGAGGCAGCAGUAGGGAAUCUUCCGCAAUGGACGAAAGUCUGACGGAGCAACGCCGCGUGAACGAUGAAGGUCUUCGGAUCGUAAAGUUCUGUUGUCAGGGAAGAACAAGUACCGUGCGAAUAGAGCGGUACCUUGACGGUACCUGACGAGGAAGCCCCGGCUAACUACGUGCCAGCAGCCGCGGUAAUACGUAGGGGGCAAGCGUUGUCCGGAAUUAUUGGGCGUAAAGCGCGCGCAGGCGGUUCCUUAAGUCUGAUGUGAAAGCCCACGGCUCAACCGUGGAGGGUCAUUGGAAACUGGGGAACUUGAGGACAGAAGAGGAGAGUGGAAUUCCACGUGUAGCGGUGAAAUGCGUAGAUAUGUGGAGGAACACCAGUGGCGAAGGCGACUCUCUGGUCUGUUUCUGACGCUGAGGUGCGAAAGCGUGGGUAGCAAACAGGAUUAGAUACCCUGGUAGUCCACGCCGUAAACGAUGAGUGCUAGGUGUUAGGGGGCUUCCACCCCUUAGUGCUGAAGUUAACGCAUUAA
rnacentral:rRNA from 1 species